GGUUUGAUCAUGGCUCAGACGAACGCUGGUGUAGAUGUUGCAGAUGCAAGCUCGAACGCAGCAGGCCAGACUUCCGGCCUGCAUGAGUGGCGAACGGUGAGGCACGUAUCGGAACUGUGUCGGUGGCGUGAUGACCCAGCGCGAAAGCGUAGCUAAUACCGCAUACUGCCCUUCGGGGGAAAGCGGGGGGACCUUCGCCUCGUGGUUCAUUAGAGCGGCCGAUAUCGGAUUAGCUAGUUGGUGGGGUAACGGCUCACCAAGGCGACGAUCCAGGGCUGGUUUGAGAGACGACCAGCCACACUGGGACCGAGACACGGCCCAGACUCCCAUGGAGGCGGCAGUGGGGAAUUUUGGACAAUGGGGAAACCCUGAUCUGAACAUAUCCGCGUGCGAUGAAGGCCUUCGGGUUGUAAAGCACUUUUGGCAGGAAAGAAACGGCAUCGGAUAAUACCCUCGUGCAACUGACGGUACCUGCAGAAUAAGCACCAUAACCAUGCCAGCAGCCAGCGGUAAUACGUAGGUGCAAGCGCGUUAAUCGAAUUACUGGGCGUAAAGCGUGCGGUGCGGUUCGGAAAGAAAAAGAUGAAAUCCCAGAGCUUAACUUUGGAACUGCAUUUUUAACUACCGAGCUAGAGUGUGUCAGAGGGAGGUGGAAUUCCGCGUGUAGCAGUGAAAUGCGUAGAUAGCGUGAGGAACACCGAUGGCGAAGGCAGCCUCCUGGGAUAACACUGACGCUCAUGCACGAAACGGGAGCAAACAGGAUUAGAUACCCCGGUAGUCCACGCCCUAAACGAUGUCAACUAGCUGUUGGGGCCUGGGCCUUGAUAGCGCAGCUAACGCGUGAAGUUGACCGCCUGGGGAGUACGGUCGCAAGAUUAAAACUCAAAGGAAUUGACGGGACCCGUACGCGGUGGAUGAUGUGGAUUAAUUCGAUGCAACGCGAAAACCUUACCUACCCUUGACAUGUCUGGAACCACAGAUUUGGGAGUGCUCGCAAGAGAACCGGAACAUAUGGUGCUGGCAUAAAUAAUGCGCCAGCUCGUGUCGAGAUGUUGGGUUAAGUCCCGCAACGAGCGCAACCCCUUGUCAUUAGUUGCUACGAAAGGGCACCUUUAACGAGAUCUGCUGCGUGACAAACUGAGGAAGGUGGGAUGACGCCAAGUCCUCAUGGCCCUUACAGGGUAGGGCUUCACACGUCAUACAAUGGUCGGGACAGAGGGUCGCCAACCCGCGAGGGGGCCAACUUAGAACCGAUCGCAGUCUGAUCGCAGUCUGCAACUCGACUGCGUGAAGUCGGAAUCGCUAGUAAUCGCGGAUCAGCAUGUCGCGGUGAAUACGUUCCUGGUCUUGUACACACCGCCCGUCACACCAUGGGAGUGGGUUUUACCAGAAGUAGUUAGCUCAACCGUAAGGAGGGCGAUUACCACGGUAGGAUUCACAUCAGGCAAGCUGUAACAAGGUAGU
rnacentral:rRNA from 1 species